GCUACUAUAAUAUGAUCUAUGAU
rnacentral:siRNA from 1 species